rnacentral:rRNA from 1 species
UGGGGAAUAUUGCACAAUGGGCGAAAGCCUGAUGCAGCAACGCCGCGUGAGUGAUGAAGGCCUUCGGGUUGUAAAGCUCUGUCUUCUGGGACGAUAAUGACGGUACCAGAGGAGGAAGCCACGGCUAACUACGUGCCAGCAGCCGCGGUAAUACGUAGGUGGCAAGCGUUGUCCGGAUUUACUGGGCGUAAAGGAUGCGUAGGCGGAUACUUAAGUCAGAUGUGAAAAUCCCGGGCUUAACUUGGGAACUGCAUUUGAAACUGGGUAUCUAGAGUGCGGGAGAGGAAAGUGGAAUUCCUAGUGUAGCGGUGAAAUGCGUAGAGAAUAGGAAGAACACCAGUGGCGAAGGCGACUUUCUGGACCGUAACUGACGCUGAGGCAUGAAAGCGUGGGGAGCAAACA